rnacentral:lncRNA from 1 species
CUUUUAGUGUUUUCACACUGCUUUUCUUCUCCGCUACCAUUGCAUUCACCUGUUCCAAGGUGUCCUCCAAACUCAUUUUCCGUUGAGUAGCUUUCCUAAUUUCUUCCUCAGUCUGGUUUACAAUCUCCAUAAGAGGAGCCUUAAUCUGAGUUCUGUAUUUGACUAGGCAAUUUGGUCCUGCCUCAGGAUUAAAGUGAAUCUCAAAGUCGUGCCCUUUAGAAUUCUCAGCACUUAUUGGAAUUAAUUUCAGCUUUCGAGCCAGUUUAUGAUACUCUGCCAGCUGUGUUUCAAUCGCCUCUUUAUUUCUAGCAUAUUUUAGCUCUUCGUUCCACAGCUGAUGUUCUUCUGCUUCGAGUUCCUUAGUUAGCUUAUUAAUGGUUUGCUGCAACUCAUUUCUCUCGUGAUUUAUUCUCUCGAUAUCCGCAACUGAGUACUUUUGGUUAUCAAAGAUAUGCUGGAGCCGUGCAUUCUCCUGCUUCAUUGCUUCUACUUCCAUUUCUGUUGUCUCAACUUCUUCAUUAACACUUUUCAUUUUCUGAUCAAGGAUGGUUGUGUGAGAUUCCAGAUUAGCCAGAUAAGCCUGGUAUUUCUGAACAUCUGCUUGAAAAGAAGAUCUCAGCUUUCGUAGCGAUACCAAACGAUCCGGCUCGCUUUCCCUUUCUUUUUCUAGUCUUGCAAUUUCUUCAUGAAGUCUUUUGUUUUCUGCUGCUAAGCCUUCUAUUUUGAAUUCAUCUACAUUAAAUAAAUCUUUUAAUUUUGACUGCACUUCUGCAUCCAAUUCUUCGUAAGUAUCUCCCCCUUUCAUGAAGUGCUCAUAGCACUUUACAACGUAGUCCAUGAAAAGCUUGUUAUGUACAAUUCCAUCAUCCGUUUCUCCUCCCCAGUUCUGCCCAUCAUCAAAUGAAGAUGGAUUUUCCCUCAUGGCAGCAUACAACUGAAAGGCAAAAGUGUACAUGCAUAGAACAUGCAUGAAGACCUCCAUUAGUCCUGCUGGUCAAGAUUCUCAACUCAGGAUACAG